GGGAUUAUAGAUUAAUUGGUAAAUCUUACGCUUUGCAUGCGUAUGUUAUCGGUUCAAUUCCGAUUGAUUCCA